rnacentral:tRNA from 2 species
UUAUGGGGUGAAUUCCUCUCUUUACA